rnacentral:rRNA from 1 species
GAUGAACGCUAGCGGCAGGCUUAAUACAUGCAAGUCGAGGGGUAACAGGUCUGUAGCAAUACAGAUGCUGACGACCGGCAAACGGGUGCGGAACACGUACAGAACCUUCAUUCGCGUGGGAGAUAGCCCAGGGAAACUUGGAGUAAUAUCCCAUAGGAUCAGAGAGUGGCAUCACUUAGUGAUUAAAGAUUUAUCGCUUGAAGAUGGCUGUGCGGCUGAUUAGGUAGUUGGUGUAGGUAACGGCUCACCACGCCUGCGAUCAGUAACUGGUGUGAGAGCACGACCAGUCACACGGGCACUGAGACACGGGCCCGACUCCUACGGGAGGCAGCAGUAAGGAAUAUUGGGCAAUGGAGGCAACUCUGACCCAGCCAUGCCGCGUGGAGGAUGAAGGUCCUCUGGAUUGUAAACUUCUUUUAUUUGGGAAGAAAUGCCGAUUUUCUAAUUGGUUUGACGGUACCAGAUGAAUAAGCACCGGCUAACUCCGUGCCAGCCGCCGCCGUAACAC